rnacentral:rRNA from 1 species
GUAGUCUGCAACUCGACUACAUGAAGACUGGAAUCGCUAGUAAUCGCAGAUCAGAAUGCUGCGGUGAAUACGUUCCCGGGUCUUGUACACACCGCCCGUCACACCAUGGGAGUCGGAAAUGCCCGAAGCCGGUGACCAAACCAAUAAGGAAGGAGCCGUCGAAGGCAGGUCUGAUAACUGGGGUGAAGUCGUAACAAGGUAUC